GUCAGGGUUAGAGGACAGACCGUUCAGAAGUCAGCGUGAUUGAAGGCAUUUUAAAAAUUAUGUCAGAUCUUUCUCUUCUGCACCGUGGCAAUGUUUCCGGAUGCUUCAUUUUUAUUAAAACGAGGGCUUUAGUGACUCACUAUUGCCCCUAGGCUGAAGAUCAGACUCCCUCUGACAUUCAAGUCCCCCCAGGAUCUGACCACACCUCCUUUUCCUGUGUAAGCUCCUGCCACUCCUUGCAGCUGCAACCAGAUGUACCAAGGAAGGAUGAGAAGAAAGUGAGAAGAAGGGGAAUAAAAGAAGGUGAUGAAAAUGUUCUAAACCUGAUCGUGUUGGUUGCCAGCAACCCUGUGAAUAUAUUAAAAAUCAUUGAAUUGUACAUUUUACGUGAAUGAAUUGUGUGAUGUGGUAGACAGAAUAAUGUCCCCUUAAAGAUGUCUAUGUCCUGAACUUCAGAGCCUGUGAAUAUGUUAGCAUACCUGGCAAAGAAGAAUUAAGUUUGCAGAUGAAAUUAAUUCAGUUGCUAAUUAGCUGACUUUAAGACAGGAAGUUUAGCCUGGAUUACCCAGGUAAGCCCAAUGUAAUCACAAACGACCUUAAAAGUAGAAGAUGGAAUAUGAAGAGAGAACCAGAGAGGCAGCAUCUUGAGAAAGACUCAGCCCAGUGUUGCUGGCCUUGAAGAUGGAGGAAGGGAGCCACGAGCCGAGGAGGGCAGGUGGCCUCUAGAAGCUGGGAAGGGCAAGGAAAUCCAUUCUCCCCUAGGACCUUCAGAAAGAAACUCAGCCCUGCCAAUACCUCGAUCUUUGUCCAGUGAGAUUUGUGUCACGCUUCUGAUCCAUGGAACAAGAUAGUAAAUUUGUGUUACUUUAAGUCACUAAGUGUGUGGUAAUUUGUUGCAGCGUCAGUAGAAAACUAAUAUAUACGGUAUGUGAGUUAUAUGUAAAUAAAGCUGUUUAAAAAAAUGAUUGUUUUCUUAGGUGGCAUAAAUAGAAGUAUGACGUCUGGAAGGGUGGAGGUGAUAGUCUCUUUGCAAUCUAAGUGAGGCAGACUCCAUCUGGAGCUCAGCUCUGAAUGCCACACUGUAAGAGGAA
rnacentral:lncRNA from 10 species